rnacentral:lncRNA from 1 species
AGAGUAAUUGCUGCUAAGUGCUGCUGCUACUGUUGAGUGCUGCUGCCGCUGUUGCUAUUGCUGCCGCUGCCGAGAGCUGCUGCUGCUACUGCUGCUGGUGUCAAGUGCAGAAGAGAAACUGCAGGGACUGUUUUGUAACAACUGCAGGGACUUUUGUAAAAAUAGCAAAUUCUGCUUUGUGGGGAGAUUUAGUUGCAAUUGGCUGAUCUUAUCUAAACUCCAGCACACCCCCAGCUGCAUACGUAUGCAGGGCAACCUCCUCUCCGUCUCUUUUCAUUUUCUUUCUUAUUCUCUCUCUCUCUCUAAACCAUAUGUGGUAGAAUUUUAGGGAGAGUGGUGGAGUCGAUGUUAGAGCUGUGAGAAGGUUUUGGAGCUUGUUUAUUAUGGUGGAGAGGGAACCCGAGGUGAGUUGGUGAUAUCUCUUUGAUAAGGUUUG